rnacentral:rRNA from 1 species
CCUACGGGAGGCAGCAGUGGGGAAUAGUGCACAAUGGGGGAAACCCUGAUGCAGCGACGUCGCGUGAGUGAUGAAGUAUGUCGGUAUGUAAAGCUCUAGCAGCAGGGAAGAAAAUGACGGUACCUGACUAAGAAGCCCCGGCUAACUACGUGCCAGCAGCCGCGGUAAUACGUAGGGGGCAAGCGUGAUCCGGAUUUACUGGGUGUAAAGGGAGCGUAGAGGGCGGGGCAAGCCUGAUGUGAAAGCCCGGGGCUCAACCCCGGGACUGCAUUUGGAACUGUGCUGCUAGCGUGUCGGAGAGUCAGGCGGCAUUCCUAGUGUAGCUGUGACCUGCGUAGAUAUUAGGAGG